GAUGAACGCUGGCGGCGUGCCUAAUACAUGCAAGUCGAGCGAAAAGACGAGGAGCUUGCUCCUCUGACGUUUGCGGCGGACGGGUGAGUAACACGUGGAUAACCUCCCUAUAAGACUGGGAUAACUUCGGGAAACCGGCGCUAAUACCGGAUAAUAUAUUGAACCGCAUGGUUCAAUAGUGAAAGACGGUUUUGCUGUCACUUAUAGAUGGUUCCGCGCCGCAUUAGCUAGUUGGUAAGGUAACGGCUUACCAAGGCAACGAUGCGUAGCCGACCUGAGAGGGUGAUCGGCCACACUGGAACUGAGACACGGUCCAGACUCCUACGGGAGGCAGCAGUAGGGAAUCUUCCGCAAUGGGCGAAAGCCUGACGGAGCAACGCCGCGUGAGUGAUGAAGGUCUUCGGAUCGUAAAACUCUGUUAUUAGGGAAGAACAAAUGUGUAAGUAACUAUGCACGUCUUGACGGUACCUAAUCAGAAAGCCACGGCUAACUACGUG
rnacentral:rRNA from 1 species